rnacentral:rRNA from 1 species
UACGUAGGGUGCGAGCGUUGUUCGGAAUUACUGGGCGUAAAGGGCUCGUAGGCGGCCAACUAAGUCAGACGUGAAAUCCCUCGGCUUAACCGGGGAACUGCGUCUGAUACUGGAUGGCUCGAGUUUGGGAGAGGGAUGCGGAAUUCCAGGUGUAGCGGUGAAAUGCGUAGAUAUCUGGAGGAACACCGGUGGCGAAGGCGGCAUCCUGGACCAACACUGACGCUGAGUGAGCGAAAGCCAGGGGAGCAAACGGG